rnacentral:rRNA from 1 species
UACGUAGGGGGCAAGCGUUGUCCGGAUUUAUUGGGCGUAAAGAGCGUGUAGGCGGCCAGGUAGGUCUGCUGUGAAAACUCGAGGCUUAACCUCGAGCUGUCGGCGGAAACCAUCUGGCUAGAGUCCGGAAGAGGAGAAUGGAAUUCCCGGUGUAAGCGGUGAAAUGCGCAGGAUAUCGGGGAAGAACACCCGUGGCGAAGGCGGUUCUCUGGGACGGUAACUGACGCUGGAGACGCGAAAGCGUGGGGAGCGAACAGG